rnacentral:rRNA from 1 species
AUUGAACGCUGGCGGCAUGCUUUACACAUGCCAGUCGAACGGUAACAGGCCGCAAGGUGCUGACGAGUGGCGCACGGGUGAGUAAUGCAUCGGAACGUGCCCAGUCGUGGGGGAUAACUACUCGAAAGAGUAGCUAAUACCGCAUACGAUCUAUGGAUGAAAGCGGGGGACCGUAAGGCCUCGCGCGAUUGGACCGGCCGAUGUCAGAUUAGGUAGUUGGUGGGGUAAAGGCUCACCAAGCCAACGAUCUGUAGCUGGUCUGAGAGGACGACCAGCCACACUGGGACUGAGACACGGCCCAGACUCCUACGGGAGGCAGCAGUGGGGAAUUUUGGACAAUGGGCGCAAGCCUGAUCCAGCAAUGCCGCGUGCAGGAAGAAGGCCUUCGGGUUGUAAACUGCUUUUGUACGGAACGAAACGGCUCUGGUUAAUACCCGGGGCUAAUGACGGUACCGUAAGAAUAAGCACCGGCUAACUACGUG